CUACGGGAGGCAGCAGUGGGGAAUAUUGGACAAUGGGCGCAAGCCUGAUCCAGCAACGCCGCGUGGAGGAAGAAGGUUUUCGGAUCGUAAACUCCUGUCAGGUGGGACGAAAAGCCGUCGGUGAAUAGCCGGCGGUCAUGACUGUACCAUCAGAGGAAGCCCCGGCUAACUCCGUGCCAGCAGCCGCGGUAAUACGGGGGGGGCGAGCGUUAUUCGGAAUUAUUGGGCGUAAAGGGCGCGUAGGCGGCAUGGCAAGUCAAAGGUGAAAUCCCUCGGCUCAACCGGGGAACUGCCUCUGAAACUGCCAAGCUCGAGGACGGGAGGGGGUGGCGGAAUUCCCAGUGUAGCGGUGAAAUGCGUAGAUAUUGGGAGGAACACCAGUGGCGAAGGCGGCCACCUGGACCGGUGCUGACGCUGAUGCGCGAAAGCAUGGGGAGCGAACGGGAUUAGAUACCCCGGUAGUCC
rnacentral:rRNA from 1 species